GUGGGGAAUUUUGGACAAUGGGGGAAACCCUGAUCCAGCGACGCCGCGUGAAGGAUGAAGGCCUUCGGGUUGUAAACUUCUUUUGGAGGGGACGAAUAAAUUGACGGUACCCUCAGAAAAAGCCACGGCUAACUACGUGCCAGCAGCCGCGGUAAUACGUAGGUGGCGAGCGUUACUCGGAAUUACUAGGCGUAAAGCGUAUGUAGGCGGUUGUAUAAGUCUAUGGUGAAAUUUCCUGGCUCAACUGGGAAGGGACAUAGAUACUGUAUGGCUUGAGUGUUGGAGGGGGAGACGGAAUUCCUGGUGUAGCGGUGAAAUGCGUAGAUAUCAGGAGGAACACCGAUGGCGAAAGCAGUCUCCUGGCCAAAUACUGACGCUGAGGUACGAAAGCUAGGGUAGCAAACAGGAUUAGAAACCCGGGUGUCC
rnacentral:rRNA from 1 species